GUGUUGUGUUGUUCAAGAUUAUUUUUUUUCUUGCAAAUGAAGUAUUUUUUCUUUUCUUUUCUUUUCCUUUCUUCUUUUUUUACAAUUUUUUGGGAUUUAUUCAUUUCAUCACAUAGUAUUCAUGUGAAUCAAUCUAUGUAAAGAAAAUGGACAUUUAUAAAUCUCAUAUCUUUACUAUUGUGUUAUUUAGUUUUUUUUCAUCUUAGAUAUUAAUUUUCUUAAUUCAUCGGCUUGGGUUUUAAAUUAUAACCCGAAAUACAACUUCAAGUAUAAUUUUUCAACCCAACCCAUUUGAUCGGGUUGAGCGGUUUGGGUUGGGUUUUACCCCGCCCUAACCUUGAAUACAACGCCAAAAGCAAUAAAUUGAUUUCAGUCCAGGAAAAUCUCAAACGACUCUUGAAUUUUAAACAUUAUUUGUACCCCAAUUAAAUUAUUUUCAAUCUGCAAUGUUGGUGAAUCUCAGAACAAUGUUUUCGUAAGUUAAUAAAUAAGAUUGAAUGAGGUUACAGCUAUGUUUCGUUUUUCCACCAAAUCUCUGUUAGAUUCUGUAGUUGACCCAACCCAAAAAAAAAAAAAAAAAACGAUUACUGAUGGAUUGUUUUGAGAAGGAUGGCACAGAAUUAAGGAACAAAAGAAAACUAAAUUUUUGUUCAUUUUAGUGUGCAGGCCUGUCUAGCACAGUAUACCAAGCAUGUGUUAGGCACCCACAAGUUCUUGUCAUGGUUUAAUAAUUAGGUUGUUAAGGGGUUAGGGUAUUCUGGGUAGACUGCCAAAUAAGUGUGGUAUGAACUCAUCAUAAAUAGGAAGGAGUUCUAUUUUCAUUCGGGCAGAAACUAGGGUGAAAUUGAAGGAUCCUCAGAAGCUGGCCAUUUGCCUGUAACUGCUUUUCGUUUGAGGAUAACAAUUUCAUAGUUUACAUUGAACAUUAUACCAUUCAAUUUACAGCAAUAUAUCACACUUGAUUCCAUUUCAUUACCAUACAAACAUAUAAACACAUUGGAGUCAAACCAACAAGCACCUGACAUUUCC
rnacentral:lncRNA from 1 species